CUUCCAUUUGGAAAUAUUUAUUUUCUUAAACGUAGUGUGAUAUUGCGAUAGCCAUUUUGGGUUAGGAAUCUCAGGAGCAGGGUGAAUGGUGGAUGGCAACUAAUUUUUUUGGGUCCCUUCAUUUACUGUGAUUUGGUCCAGGUGUUAUUUUAGGAGAUAUCAUUAAUG